GCUAGAUGGCCCUGACGACUUUGCUAUUCCGAUGGAGGCAUGGGAGGCUAGAAAGGUUCGUUCAUCUUCCGAGCUUCUACCGAGGUCGAGGCUGUAUCCCAUGGACACCUCCCCGAAGACCGAGGAGAUUAGUAAGGAUAAGGAAGAUAAAGAAAUGGAAGAUGAAUUGUGCCGGAGAGUUAAGGAUUCAGUUCGAAUUAGCGUCGAGCUGUCCACGCCUAAGUCGGAAUUUCCAGAGUUGAAUGAACGCCGGAUGGCUACUGCUACUGGAUGUAGUUCGAGAAGUGGAAUCAAUGGUGCUCGGCCUCCUUUACUCAAGCCACCGCCGUCGAUGAGGCUUCCAAAUUUGGAUAAUACUUGCUCCACUUGGGACAUUUUGAAAGCUUUUGCUCCAUUAGUUGAUGAUGAACAUCAGGAGGAAGUAGGAGAACG
rnacentral:misc_RNA from 1 species